CCUACGGGAGGCAGCAGUGGGGAAUAUUGCACAAUGGGGGAAACCCUGAUGCAGCGACGCCGCGUGAGCGAAGACGUAUUUCUGUAUGUAAAGCUCUAUCAGCAGGGAAGAAAAUGACGGUACCUGCGUAAGAAUCUACGGCUAAAUACGUGCCAGCAGCCGCGGUAAUACGUAUGGAGCAAGCGUUAUCCGGAUUUACUGGGCGUAAGGGGAGCGUAGGCGGCCUGCCAAGUCUGAUGUGAAAUACCGGGGCUCAACCCCGGGGCUGCAUUGGAAACUGGCAGGCUGGAGUGCCGGAGAGGCAGGCGGAAUUCCUAGUGUAGCGGUGAAAUGCGUAGAUAUUAGGAGGAACACCAGUGGCGAAGGCGGCCUGCUGGACGGUGACUGACGCUGAGGCUCGAAAGCGUGGGGAGCAAACAGGAUUAGAUACCCUUGUAGUC
rnacentral:rRNA from 1 species